UUCUUUCUUUAAAUCUAUAUCUAGAAGAGAAGUAAUUUUUUCUUAACCGUGUAAGUGCUCAGCCUCUAUGGGUAUCUACUUAGGAUCAGCCUAGAACAGCCCUCUUAAGAUUGAAUUUUUUUCUCUAAGAAAAUUCAGCCUGCGAAUCUGAACAAAGCCUGGAUCGUGAUCAACUCUUUGAUCUUUUUCUUGAUCUUCUUCUUCUCUUCUUCUCUUGCCUUUCUUCCCUUGAAUAUGCUACUGCUAUAGGCCAAAAAUUUGCAAAGGAGAGAUGCCCAACAGCCUUGGGCA
rnacentral:lncRNA from 1 species